UACGAAGGGUGCAAGCGUUAAUCGGAAUUACUGGGCGUAAAGCGUGCGUAGGCGGUUUCUUAAGUCUGCUGUGAAAGCCCCGGGCUCAACCUGGGAAUGGCGGUGGAUACUGAGAAGCUGGAGUACGGUAGAGGAAGGUGGAAUUCCCGGUGUAGCGGUGAAAUGCGUAGAGAUCGGGAGGAACAUCAGUGGCGAAGGCGGCCUUCUGGACCAGUACUGACGCUGAGGCACGAAAGCGUGGGGAGCAAACAGG
rnacentral:rRNA from 1 species